GAUGAACGCUGGCGGCGUGCCUAAUACAUGCAAGUCGAGCGAACAGACGAGGAGCUUGCUCCUUCGACGUUAGCGGCGGACGGGUGAGUAACACGUAGGUAACCUACCUAUCAGACUGGGAUAACUUCGGGAAACCGGAGCUAAUACCGGAUAAUAUUUCGAACCGCAUGGUUCGAUAGUGAAAGAUGGCUUUGCUAUCACUUAUAGAUGGAUCUGCGCCGUAUUAGCUAGUUGGUAAGGUAACGGCUUACCAAGGCAACGAUACGUAGCCGACCUGAGAGGGUGAUCGGCCACACUGGAACUGAGACACGGUCCAGACUCCUACGGGAGGCAGCAGUAGGGAAUCUUCCGCAAUGGGCGAAAGCCUGACGGAGCAACGCCGCGUGAGUGAUGAAGGUCUUCGGAGCGUAAAACUCUGUUAUUAGGGAAGAACAAACGUGUAAGUAACUGUGCACGUCUUGACGGUACCUAAUCAGAAAGCCACGGCUAACUACGUG
rnacentral:rRNA from 1 species